rnacentral:lncRNA from 1 species
GCCGUGACCGACAACUCGAGCGGGCCCGCCCUUCGUCUUAAGUUGUGAACCACCGCUCAGGCAGCGGUUGGUUGCAAGGAGUAGGCCUGAGCUAGUUUCUGCGCUUGUCCCGCCACGAAAGGCCUGCUCCCCCAGCUGCUGGGUGCUGCUGGGUGCGCGCGCACCUGUGUGGGCUGUGAUCCUGCGUCAGUCGGCCCCCUCCCCCCAUCACUCUGUGCUCCGUUAUUGUUUAUCCGAUCCAUUCUACUUACCGGUAUAGAUGCAAAUCAUCGAAAUCCAUCCCAAUACUACAGUGUAAAUGCUGCAGACUUUUGUAAUGUGGGAGUCUGGCUGGAUGUUCUCAGUAUUUACAUGUAGGGCCCAGGCUAGCUGUUGGGAAUACCAAGAGAGAGAACAAAACAAAACAGAGCCCAGUCCCUAUUCUCAAGAAGCUCACCGUCUAAUAAGGGAGACAACAUGCAGACAACUGUGUUCAAAAGGGAUGUACAACCCAAAUAAAGGACUGGAAGGUAUGGAUUAUGAUAUUCUGCAAGACAAAGGAUCUAGAACUAUCAUCUAUCACCUAUCUAAUGAAACUGAGCAUAAUACUACAGGGGAACAAACACUUAUUUAA